rnacentral:rRNA from 1 species
GGUUAAGCGAAUAAGCGUACACGGUGGAUGCCUAGGCAAUCAGAGGCGAUGAAGGACGUGCUAAUCUGCGAAAAGCGUCGGUAAGGUGAUAUGAACCGUUAUACCCGACGAUAUCCGAAUGGGGAAACCCAGUAUCCAAUGGAUACUAUCAUUAACUGAAUCCAUAGGUUAAUGAGGCGAACCGGGAGAACUGAAACAUCUCAGUACCCCGAGGAAAAGAAAUCAACCGAGAUUCCCCUAGUAGCGGCGAGCGAACGGGGAGCAGCCCAGAGUCUUAAUCAAUAGCAGUGUCAGGAGAACGGUCUGGAAAGUCCGGCAGUAAAGGGUGAUAGCCCCGUAUCUGAAGAUGCUGUUAUUGUGAACUCGACGAGUAGGGCGGGACACGUGUUAUCCUGUCUGAAUAUGGGGGGACCAUCCUCCAAGGCUAAAUACUCCUGAUUGACCGAUAGUGAACCAGUACCGUGAGGGAAAGGCGAAAAGAACCCCGGCGAGGGGAGUGAAAAAGAACCUGAAACCGUGUACGUACAAGCAGUAGGAGCCUCUUUAUGGGGUGACUGCGUACCUUUUGUAUAAUGGGUCAGCGACUUAUAUUCUGUAGCAAGGUUAACCGUAUAGGGGAGCCGUAGGGAAACCGAGUCUUAACUGGGCGAAUGAGUUGCAGGGUAUAGACCCGAAACCCGGUGAUCUAUCCAUGGGCAGGUUGAAGGUUGGGUAACACUAACUGGAGGACCGAACCGA